rnacentral:rRNA from 1 species
AGAUAACCGCUGAAAGCAUCUAAGCGGGAAACUUGCCUGAAGAUGAGAUCUCCCUGGGGACUCGAUCCCCCUGAAGGGUCGUCCAAGACCAGGACGUUGAUAGGCCGGGUGUGGAAGCGCAGUAAUGCGUGCAGCUAACCGGUACUAAUUGCCCGUGAGGCUUGACCCUAUAGUUUUGCG